AAUAGAUACCCCGGUAGUCCUAGCUGUAAACGAUGAGCACUGGGGUUGAGGGGACUUCCACAUCCUCUCGGCCGUAGCGAAAGCGUUAAGUGCUCCGCCUGGGGAGUAUGGCCGCAAGGCUGAAACUCAAAGGAAUUGACGGGGGCUCACACAAGCGGUGGAGGAUGUGGCUUAAUUCGAGGCUACGCGAAGAACCUUAUCCUAGAUUUGACAUGGUUGAGAAUCUCCUUGAAAGAGGAGAAUGCCCUUCGGGGAGCUCUUUCACAGGUGCUGCAUGGCUGUCGUCAGCUCGUGUCGUGAGAUGUUGGGUUAAGUCCCUUAACGAGCGAAACCCUUAUCUUUAGUUGCCAGCGGGUCAAGCCGGGGACUCUAAAGAGACUGCCGGUGUCAAACCGGAGGAAGGUGGGGAUGACGUCAAGUCCUCAUGGCCUUUAUGUCUAGGGCUGCACACGUCCUACAAUGGCACGUACAAAGGGAAGCCAAGCCGCGAGGCCGCGCUAAUCCCAAAAAGCGUGCCCCAGUUCGGA
rnacentral:rRNA from 1 species